rnacentral:rRNA from 1 species
AUUGAACGCUGGCGGCAGGCCUAACACAUGCAAGUCGAGCGGAUGAAGGGAGCUUGCUCCUGGAUUCAGCGGCGGACGGGUGAGUAAUGCCUAGGAAUCUGCGUGGUAGUGGGGGAUAACGUCGGGAAACGGGCGCUAAUACCGCAUACGUCCUGAGGGAGCGAGUGAGGGAUCUUCGGACCUCACGCUAUCAGAUGAGCCUAGGUCGGAUUAGCUAGUUGGUGGGGUAAAGGCCUACCAAGGCGACGAUCCGUAACUGGUCUGAGAGGAUGCUCAGUCACACUGGAACUGAGACAGGGUCCAGACUCCUACGGGAGGCAGCAGUGGGGAAUAUUGGACAAUGGGCGAAAGCCUGAUCCAGCCAUGCCGCGUGUGUGAAGAAGGUCUUCGGAUUGUAAAGCACAUUAAGUUGGGAGGAAGGGCAGUAAGUUAAUACCUUGCUGUUUUGACGUUACCAACAGAAUAAGCACCGGCUAACUUCGUG